rnacentral:rRNA from 1 species
UACGAAGGGGGCUAGCGUUGUUCGGAUUUACUGGGCGUAAAGCGCACGUAGGCGGAUCGUUAAGUCAGGGGUGAAAUCCCAGAGCUCAACUCUGGAACUGCCUUUGAUACUGGCGAUCUCGAGUCCGGAAGAGGUGAGUGGAACUCCUAGUGUAGAGGUGGAAUUCGUAGAUAUUAGGAAGAACACCAGUGGCGAAGGCGGCUCACUGGUCCGGUACUGACGCUGAGGUGCGAAAGCGUGGGGAGCAAACAGGAUUAGAAACCCCCGUAGUCC